rnacentral:rRNA from 1 species
CCUACGGGAGGCAGCAGUGAGGAAUAUUGGUCAAUGGGCGUGAGCCUGAACCAGCCAAGUCGCGUGAGGGACGACGGUCCUAUGGAUUGUAAACCUCUUUUGUCGGGGAACAAAGUCCUCCACGUGUGGGCGGUUGUGUGUACCCGAUGAAUAAGCAUCGGCUAACUCCGUGCCAGCAGCCGCGGUAAUACGGAGGAUGCGAGCGUUAUCCGGAUUUAUUGGGUUUAAAGGGUGCGUAGGCGGACUGUAAAGUCUGCGGUAAAAUUGCGGUGCUCAACGCGGUACAGCCGUUGAAACUGGCAGGCUUGAGUGGGCGAGAAGUAUGCGGAAUGCGUGGUGUAGCGGUGAAAUGCUUAGAUAUCACGCAGAACUCCGAUUGCGAAGGCAGCAUACCGGAGCGCAACUGACGCUGAAGCACGAAGGCGUGGGUAUCGAACAGGAUUAGAUACCCCAGUAGUC